rnacentral:rRNA from 1 species
UGUAAGCGUAUACCAAAGUUGUUGCAGUAAAAACGCUCGUAGUCGGAAUUUGGCAGUUCCGGAUGUGUGCACGUCGUGUGCGCACUUCGCGGGGAUUGCUUUUGUGGUCUUGCGUAGGAUGAGGCACUUUUAUUAGUGAACGUCCUCACGCAACCACUUUUUACUGUGAGAAAAUCAGAGUGCUCAAAGCAGGCAUUUGCCGUGAAUGUAUUAGCAUGGAAUAAUAGAAUAGGACUUGGUUCUAUUUUGUUGGUUUGUUGGGACUGAGUAAUGAUUAAGAGGGACAGUUGGGGGCAUUUGUAUUUCGGUGCUAGAGGUGAAAUUCUUAGAUUACCGAAAGACAAACUGCUGCGAAAGCGUCUGCCAAGGAUGUUUUCAUUGA